UUACGCCCCCUUGCUUUCUGUGUCAUAUUUAGUCGCCAUCCAGAAUGGCAUCUGGCUGAGGUUGUCCCACUGCAGUUAGAGUCUGAGCAAGACCGUUUCAGCGCGACGGGCACUGGUGUUACAUAACAUUACGGACGUGUUCUGUCCCUCCGUCAAACCCAUUGUCUCCCAGAUAGACUGAACGAGCUUUCAGCUUCCCAGCAUAUUGGUUGUCUGCCUGACUGAUUGGACAUCAGAAUUUACGCGUACGGAGCUGAGUGCCUAAGGCAGGGGUGGAGUCCUGGUGUUGGUGUUUCUUUCACAAGUGGUCGUGUGCGUGUGUGUCACAGGUAUAAGUGGAGGGUGGUUUGCUGUGUAGGCCGAUUAUGCCCUGCUGCCACACCUCGACUCCUGUACCUCGAUCAUUGGAUGACCUCCAUAGUUGUAUUCUGUGAAGUGUUGAAUUCAGUCUGUUAUAUGUGAACUGUUGUGCUCAGCGAUUUACUCUUCUUUCCCCUGUUUUGUAACAAACUCUUUUCUUAAAUUGUAAUAAACUAUUUUAUCUACGUCUCCUGCCAAUUUACCGUGAGCUGACCGGUGUUGCCUAAAACUAAAUUCUAUUCAUUAUAGGUCCCGGGGCUAGACCCAGGGUGGUGUAGUCGUGCUAAAUUUUUAAUCCCUUAGCGUUCCGCCACACAUGGACCACCUUUACAAAUGUUCAAAAAAAAGACCAUUGUCAAUAUUGUAGCAACUAUCAAUAUAUGAAGCACACCAACCAA